GAUGAACGCUGGCGGCGUGCUUAACACAUGCAAGUCGAACGGAAAGGCUCCUGCUUGCCGGGGUACUCGAGUGGCGAACGGGUGAGUAACACGUGGGUGAUCUGCCCUGCACUUCGGGAUAAGCCUGGGAAACUGGGUCUAAUACCGGAUAGGACGAUGGUUUGGAUGCCAUUGUGGAAAGUUUUUCGGUGUGGGAUGAGCUCGCGGCCUAUCAGCUUGUUGGUGGGGUAAUGGCCUACCAAGGCGUCGACGGGUAGCCGGCCUGAGAGGGUGUACGGCCAAAUUGGGACUGGGAUACGGCCCAGACUCCCACGGGGGGCAGCGGUGGGGAAUAUUGCCAAAGGGGCGCAAGCCUGAUGCAGCGACGCCGGGGGGGGGAUGACGGCCUUCGGGUUGGAAACCCCUUUCGCUAGGGACGAAGCGCAAGUGACGGUACCUGGAGAAGAAGCACCGGCUAAAUACGU
rnacentral:rRNA from 1 species